rnacentral:tRNA from 1 species
UGCCGGCUUAGCUCAGUUGGUAGAGCAUCGCACUCGUAACGCGGAGGUCACAGGUUCAAAUCCUGCAGCCGGCAU